rnacentral:rRNA from 1 species
GACGAACGCUGGCGGCGUGCCUAAUACAUGCAAGUCGAACGCUUCUUUCCUCCCGAGUGCUUGCACUCAAUUGGAAAGAGGAGUGGCGGACGGGUGAGUAACACGUGGUUAACCUACCCAUCGGAGGGGGAUAACACUUGGAAACAGGUGCUAAUACCGCAUAACAGUUUAUGCCGCAUGGCAUAAGAGUGAAAGGCGCUUUCGGGUGUCGCUGAUGGAUGGACCCGCGGUGCAUUAGCUAGUUGGUGAGGUAACGGCUCACCAAGGCCACGAUGCAUAGCCGACCUGAGAGGGUGAUCGGCCACACUGGGACUGAGACACGGCCCAGACUCCUACGGGAGGCAGCAGUAGGGAAUCUUCGGCAAUGGACGAAAGUCUGACCGAGCAACGCCGCGUGAGUGAAGAAGGUUUUCGGAUCGUAAAACUCUGUUGUUAGAGAAGAACAAGGACGUUAGUAACUGAACGUCCCCUGACGGUAUCUAACCAGAAAGCCACGGCUAACUACGUG